rnacentral:rRNA from 1 species
ACAUGCAGUCGAACGGUGAACACGGAGCUUGCUCUGUGGGAUCAGUGGCGAACGGGUGAGUAACACGUGAGCAACCUGCCCCUGACUCUGGGAUAAGCGCUGGAAACGGCGUCUAAUACUGGAUAUGUGACGUGACCGCAUGGUCUGCGUCUGGAAAGAAUUUCGGUUGGGGAUGGGCUCGCGGCCUAUCAGCUUGUUGGUGAGGUAAUGGCUCACCAAGGCGUCGACGGGUAGCCGGCCUGAGAGGGUGACCGGCCACACUGGGACUGAGACACGGCCCAGACUCCUACGGGAGGCAGCAGUGGGGAAUAUUGCACAAUGGGCGCAAGCCUGAUGCAGCAACGCCGCGUGAGGGACGACGGCCUUCGGGUUGUAAACCUCUUUUAGCAGGGAAGAAGCGAAAGUGACGGUACCUGCAGAAAAAGCGCCGGCUAACUACGUGCCAGCAGCCGCGGUAAUACGUAGGGCGCAAGCGUUAUCCGGAAUUAUUGGGCGUAAAGAGCUCGUAGGCGGUUUGUCGCGUCUGCUGUGAAAUCCGGAGGCUCAACCUCCGNCCUGCAGUGGGUACGGGCAGACUAGAGUGCGGUAGGGGAGAUUGGAAUUCCUGGUGUAGCGGUGGAAUGCGCAGAUAUCAGGAGGAACACCGAUGGCGAAGGCAGAUCUCUGGGCCGUAACUGACGCUGAGGAGCGAAAGGGUGGGGAGCAAACAGGCUUAGAUACCCUGGUAGUCCACCCCGUAAACGUUGGGAACUAGUUGUGGGGUCCAUUCCACGGAUUCCGUGACGCAGCU